UCUACUAACACAAGAUUUGCAUUUAAGAUCAAAUAUACGUAGCUACGAAAAGAAAAUAAACUCAUUUAUUUUCUCAAAAAAAUCGUUGCGUAUGUACAUCAGUCAUCAAACAAUAGAUGCGCAAAGCGGUCCCUUGACUUGUUUUCUUAAAUGAUCCAUUUCGCGCGGAAAUCUAUAUUCCUCGAUGGUAAAGGUCAGUUUUAUUCUGAAAGUGAGGAGACGCAGAAGUUUAAAACACCAAUAUGUUGCUGUUCCUUAUCUUGGUACUUGAUUUCAAGGGUGUCAGUUGUGUUAAGUUCGCAGUUGAAGGAAACAUGGUCAAUGGGCAGGAUGUGCGUAUUGUCUGCAAAUCUAACGAUCCCAUCAUAAUAUCUUACACAAACUCGAGCAGUGAAGUAACCAUUGGAGGUUGCAGUGCUUUCAAAGACUGUCAUACGGAAUUCCCAGACAAAUACGCUGUAAACGGCACGGGCGACGUUGGAAUACUGACGAUAUACAAACUCGACGUCGGAAAAUAUGGUGUUUACACAUGUACGAAUGCUCUGAAUACAUCUUGUAAAGAAAGCGUCAACGUCACCUUAAAUGCACAGCAUACGACUACUCCACAUCAAACGAGCGGAUAUUAUACGCCUUGCAUAAGAGGCAAAGUGGUGAUCUACACGUGCGUUGCGAUGGCUGUUUGUUUUGGUUUUGAAUUGUAACAUUUGUGAAAUAAAGAAUGUAUCAUAGAAAUUCUAAAUGCUAUGUCCACACCUUUUCUCCUCUCUGGUAAAGGGACGGGGUAUAUUGCUUUGAUUUGCUUAUGUCGGUUCGCUCUUAGUUCAUAAGGAUAAACACCUGUCCCCUUCCAUUCAAAACAUACGUAUACAAAACCAUGACGCCUUCUGGAGUUAAAUAAGGAGUUUGACAAUCAAUGGAAAUACAUAUAUAAUAAAAUAAA